UCCCUGGUGGCUCAAAUGGUAAAGAAUCCACCUGCAAUGUGGGAGACCUGGGUUCGAUCCCUGGCUCAGGAA
rnacentral:tRNA from 1 species